GGAGUUCCCAGGUCCCUAUCACCUAUUCAAGAAAAAAAAAGGGUCAGUUGUACUCGAAGGCGUCCAACCACCCGCAUUUCCAAGGCUCCAGCUCCAUCGCUUCUCCUUGCGAAGCAAUUCGAGUGCGAAAUAAGGCUUGGAUGGAUCAUUGGAAGAGAAGGAAGCCGAAGCUCACAAACAAAAUAUCCCUUCCCGGCUAGCUCUUUUCACCUUCAAAGACUGCGGAUUCUGUGCCUCAUAUCCAUCGCCGCGGCCGUGUCCCCGUCAGAGGAAACAGUCCCCAACCCACACAAAAGCAGUGAACUGAAGGGGCUGAGAGCAAAGCACAUGAGAGUAUGCAACCUGCAGGUUAUUGCCUCCUGUU
rnacentral:misc_RNA from 1 species